GACGAACGCUGGCGGCGUGCUUAACACAUGCAAGUCGAACGGAAAGGCCCUGCUUUUGUGGGGUGCUCGAGUGGCGAACGGGUGAGUAACACGUGAGUAACCUGCCCUUGACUUUGGGAUAACUUCAGGAAACUGGGGCUAAUACCGGAUAGAAGCUCCUGCUGCAUGGUGGGGGUUGGAAAGUUUCGGCGGUUGGGGAUGGACUCGCGGCUUAUCAGCUUGUUGGUGGGGUAGUGGCUUACCAAGGCUUUGACGGGUAGCCGGCCUGAGAGGGUGACCGGCCACAUUGGGACUGAGAUACGGCCCAAACUCCUACGGGAGGCAGCAGUGGGGAAUAUUGCACAAUGGGCGGAAGCCUGAUGCAGCAACGCCGCGUGCGGGAUGACGGCCUUCGGGUUGUAAACCGCUUUCGCCUGUGACGAAGCGUGAGUGACGGUAAUGGGUAAAGAAGCACCGGCUAACUACGUG
rnacentral:rRNA from 1 species